GAUGAACGCUGGCGGCGUGCCUAAUACAUGCAAGUCGAGCGAACGGACGAGAAGCUUGCUUUUCUGAUGUUAGCGGCGGACGGGUGAGUAACACGUGGAUAACCUACCUAUAAGACUGGGAUAACUUCGGGAAACCGGAGCUAAUACCGGAUAAUAUUUUGAACCGCAUGGUUCAAAAGUGAAAGACGGUCUUGCUGUCACUUAUAGAUGGAUCCGCGCUGCAUUAGCUAGUUGGUAAGGUAACGGCUUACCAAGGCAACGAUGCAUAGCCGACCUGAGAGGGUGAUCGGCCACACUGGAACUGAGACACGCUCCAGACUCCUACGGGAGGCAGCAGUAGGGAAUCUUCCGCAAUGGGCGAAAGCCUGACGGAGCAACGCCGCGUGAGUGAUGAAGGUCUUCGGAUCGUAAAACUCUGUUAUUAGGGAAGAACAUAUGUGUAAGUAACUGUGCACAUCUUGACGGUACCUAAUCAGAAAGCCACGGCUAACUACGUG
rnacentral:rRNA from 1 species